AGUGAACGCUGGCGGUAGGCCUAACACAUGCAAGUCGAACGGCAGCACAGUAAGAGCUUGCUCUUACGGGUGGCGAGUGGCGGACGGGUGAGGAAUACAUCGGAAUCUACUUUUUCGUGGGGGAUAACGUAGGGAAACUUACGCUAAUACCGCAUACGACCUACGGGCGAAAGCAGGGGAUCUUCGGACCUUGCGCGAUUGAAUGAGCCGAUGUCGGAUUAGCUAGUUGGCGGGGUAAAGGCCCACCAAGGCGACGAUCCGUAGCUGGUCUGAGAGGAUGAUCAGCCACACUGGAACUGAGACACGGUCCAGACUCCUACGGGAGGCAGCAGUGGGGAAUAUUGGACAAUGGGCGGAAGCCUGAUCCAGCCAUACCGCGUGGGUGAAGAAGGCCUUCGGGUUGUAAAGCCCUUUUGUUGGGAAAGAAAAGCAGCAGGUUAAUACCCCGCUGUUCUGACGGUACCCAAAGAAUAAGCACCGGCUAACUUCGUG
rnacentral:rRNA from 1 species